AUUGAACGCUGGCGGCAGGCCUAACACAUGCAAGUCGAACGAGUGGCGGACGGGUGAGUAAUGUCUGGGAAACUGCCUGAUGGAGGGGGAUAACUACUGGAAAGGGUAGCUAAUACCGCAUACUAUUGGAUGUGCCGAGAUGGGAUUAGAUAGUAGGUGGGGUAAAGGCUCACCUAGGCCACGAUCCCUAGCUGGUUUGAGAGGAUGACCAGCCACACUGGAACGGAGACACGGUCCAGACUCCUACGGGAGGCAGCAGUGGGGAAUAUUGCACAAUGGGCGCAAGCCUGAUGCAGCCAUGCCGCGUGUAUGAAGAAGGCCUUCGGGUUGUAAAGUACUUUCAGCGGGGAGGCGUUACCCGCAGAAUAAGCACCGGCUAACUCCGUGCCAGCAGCCGCGGUAAUUC
rnacentral:rRNA from 1 species